UACGAAGGGGGCUAGCGUUGUUCGGAAUUACUGGGCGUAAAGCGCACGUAGGCGGGUAUUUAAGUCAGGGGUGAAAUCCCAGAGCUCAACUCUGGAACUGCCUUUGAUACUGGGUACCUAGAGUAUGGAAGAGGUGAGUGGAAUUCCGAGUGUAGAGGUGAAAUUCGUAGAUAUUCGGAGGAACACCAGUGGCGAAGGCGGCUCACUGGUCCAUUACUGACGCUGAGGGUGCGAAAGCGUGGGGGAGCAAAACAGG
rnacentral:rRNA from 1 species